rnacentral:rRNA from 1 species
UGAAAAUGUAAAUUUUUAAUCUAAAUUAGUAAUAGUUAAGAUCUUUAAAAUUAAAAAAUUUGGCGGUAUUUUAGUCUUUUUAGAGGAAUUUGUCCCGUAAAUGAUAUUCCACGUGUUAAUAAAUUUAAUUUAGAAAUUUAUAUAUCGUUGUAGAAAAAUAUUUUAUAAGAAUUAAAUAUUUAAUAAAUUUUUAAAAAUUGAAAUCAAAUCAAGGUGUAGUUUAUAAUUAAAAGGAGAUGAAUUACAAUUAUGUUAAUAAUGGAUUAAAAAUUGUAAAUUUUUUUGAAAUUGGAUUUAAAAGUAAUUUAAAUUAAAUUAUUUAAAUGAGUAGGUUCUGAAAUAUGU